UCGGUGUUCGUGAAUCAGUGCGGUAGGGCGGCGUUGGGCGGGCGGGCAGUCGUCAGUCUCGUGUCGCCGGCUCGCGUGAACAAACCGACCGCCGGCUCCUCCUCAAAACACUAUGGAAGUGCGUAAUCGUGCAGUUUCCUAAAAAUAUUCAGAUAUAGAUACCGUCACCCGUCACCGUCACCGUCAAUAAUGAUUUAAAAUGUUUAAAGAUCCACCCGAAGUGAACUGUGAUUGUCCGACUGACACAGAAUGUGAUCAGAUGGUAAAGUGACGUGAUGCAACUAGUAAUGCUAAACUUUUUAAUAAUGUUCGACGUCGUGUUUAUAUUCUUUCUGUUCCUGAUCGCUGUGACGUGUGUGAUGAACUACAUGCCGGGAAGGAAGCGCCAGGAAGCCACAGAAGACGACGUCGAUGAUGACGUCAUCCCCCCUCCCCCAUUGUUUGCGGGCGACGACGAAUUCCCCUCGGGCUGCCGUGAUACGUAUGUUGUGAUCUCGCCACCAAUGGACAACGACACAGCAAAGGACGGAUGUCCCGUACACAUUGUUUAAUAUAAGCACUGACAUGAUAUCAACGUAGGAGUUUAUUAUGAAGAAGCCUUAUGAUGUAAUCGUGGAAACGUAGACAUUUUUUACUAAUUAGUAAAUAUUAAAUGAGAUUCUUGUUACGUAAUUAUUGUAAGUAAGGUUUGGGACGCAAUGGACAAAAAAAAUAUGAAAGUGAAGAUCUCGUAUGCAGUAAAUGAUUGCGAAGUUUAACUUAGCUUAUUAAAUACAUAUAUUGUAUAAAUUUUUAUUGAAUGUUUUUUUGAAGGAACAUUACACAUAAAAUUAGCGGAAACAAAAUAGUUUACAAUGUAUUUAUCUAUAUUGGAUUUUUAUCAAUGUUCUUCAAAACAAUCUGGUAGAACUGUACUUUGGAGAUAGUGGCUUGAGAGUAUCUCUGGUAUUAGCUACACGAAAAAAAAAAUUAAAAAGCUUUUACUUGUUUUGACAAUAAACGACUUAAGAAUUUACAUGGACAGAAAAAAUGUCAAGUACAAUAAGUAGUAAAAUCAAAGUUCGUUCCUAAAAUGACUAAGAUAUACCUACGUCUGAAUAUAAUCUAUUGUUUAGAAUUUUCAUACAUCGGGCCUGAUUGAGGCUGUCAGCGCAAAAGUGGCGUAAUCCACAAUUUUUCAUAUUCUUGCUUAUAUAUUGCAAUUAAUUAAUAAAUUUUGAUCCAAAACCUGUGUAUCCCUAGUAUCACAUAUAGAUAGCAGAUGGUUUCGAAAAAUAUUAUUUUGGCGCGUAUUGUUUUUACCUACGAAGCAGUGUAAAAGUAAAUUCAAACCUCAUUAUCUAUGGUAAGCUUAGGUCACUUUUGCGCUGACGGCCUCAAUUAUAUAAUUUCUUUGUGUUCAAUGAAUAGACGAUCGCAAACAUUUGCCUUCGCGAACUGUAAGCAGCUGUAUUGUUAAUAGUUAAAGCACAUAAUAGUUUCUUGUGUUCAAUUUUCCAUAUGAAAUAUUCGCGUAUAAAAUGCUUUUUAAUACGAACGUGACUGAAUCAUAGGUUAAUAAGUGAUAGUUGAAUAGUUAUAGUAUUGUGUUCUGCCGAAUGUUGUUUGUAAGAGUAGUUUCGUUUUUUGUGUAGUCCUCGCAUUGUCUUAGUAGUUUCAUUCAGCUCCGACUUCAUCAAUUCUUUAUUAAUUAAUUAUCCGAAAUUUAACUCAUUUUCUUGGUCACUUGUUGUAUUUUCGAUUUGAAACGAAUGGCACAGAAUUUACUUCAUUACUUUUCAAGUUAUUACUUUCUUUGGAAAAACCUGAGAACGUCAUCUAAAACAUUAAAAUGUACACUUCUCGAGGGUAAAUAAUUAUAAUGAUGCCCUAUUGAUACUUUUUGUUUUCUGAAUUAAGAAUGAUUUUCAUUUAAUUGAAUACAAUUAAUUUGAGGCUUUAAAAAUCCUCUUCAUAAUAACUCUAUUGUGAGUGACUCUAUCUCUAUUGUGAAACUCAAGGAUAAAAAUAGUCUGUCUAACUUUUUCCUUGACAUUGUUCAUUUACUCCAUUUUCGUGUCCUUUAUAUAUUAGUUUGCAUAAAAUUCUACAGUACUUUCGUAUAUAUGUAUUCGAAGCAUUUAAAUUAUAUAAUGUACGUUAGUUAUAAGAAUUAAAAUAAUAAUGAAAUGGACAAUACGUGUUUUAUGAAGAUUAAUCUCAUAUCAAUUAAAAAAAUACGUUAGCUAUUUUUGCUUCCUAGCUUGUUCAAACCGAAAACAUUAAUUUACCAAAAAAAAAUCGAUAGAUAUUGAAUUAUAAAAAGAAAUCUCAUUUGUUCCAUCAUUGUUGGAACAAAUAUAACUUAGAUAUCAAAUAGCUUAAUCACAUAAUUACAAUUACCUACAUGAGAUUUGCUAAGGAGGAUUCACCUCUAUUCCUUUGAAAAGAAGAGAUAAUAUAAAAGAGCAUGAUUUAAUAAGUUCCAUCAUUACGGUUAUAAGAUCUACAAAAAACAAUUACGCUGACCUUUUAAUUAAUCUGAGUUAGUAAACAAAGCUACCGCCUUAUUACGUUUAUUCACGAAAUACUAAUGAGUGCUUUUCUAAAUUAAUGUACCUGGAUGAUAUAAUUGUUUGUUGAAUUUAUUUUUAAGAUCCACGACUUUAAGCGUGUGCAUUUUCAUCGUUAUUUAGCGUUGAUGAACAAAACAAGGUAAUAUUAUUUUAAUUUUUUAAUAUUGACGUGUACACACAAAAAGAACUCGUGCCGAUUUAGUCGUAAUGAGUUUCUAGAGUCCACAGCGUGAAUACUGUUACUCCGGGAUCUGGUCAAAAUAUAAAUUGUAUUAGAGACGGUGAUUUAGGGAAAUCUCGACUUUGAGAAAUUAAAUCAGUGUAAUUAACGUGUGGCGAAGCUGCGCACGCCGAUCUAGCGCAUAAUUUAGUUUCAUUUUAAAGACUGUGAAUAUAAAAAUGAGGCUAUAUACACAUAUUAGGUAAGCAUUAUUUGUGUAUAAAAUUCUUUCUUUCCUUUCUUUCCAUUCUUUAUUAGAGCCAUACACCUAUUAGGUUAAGUAUUAAAUAAAUUAUCAAAAAAAUCUUAAUUCAAAACGUGGUUAAUUCAUAAGGGGAAUCAUUCUUAAGCAAAUGUUAAGUAUGGCAUUACUUGCUCCAGGAUCGACCAGAGCUGAGUCGUCUAACCAAAUACUAAGUAUCUUACUGCUUUACGAGCUCUUGUUUUCAGUCACUUAAUCCUUAACACCACUAUGCAUUAAUUAAUUUUGUACCCAGAUUUUUGACUGGAGACCAUGAUAGUCGGUAUAGGUACAUGCCCAAACUCACUCACUAAAUGUCAAAUAAAAGGAAUGCGUAAUUCUGUCAUGUAGACAUUUUACUGUUUGGAAUCUUUUGCACCUGAAAUAGUCUUCGGAUUCCCAAAAAAACUUAAUAAGAAAAAAUUAAAAUAUCCACUGCUUUAAGCUGAAAUGGUAUAACAUGUUAUUUAAUAAACCACACCACAGAAUCAAACAAUUGAACACUAGAUUGUAACGUUGAUAUAGAUAAAUUGUUGUUUUCUUAAUUUCAAAUAAAUAAUAACUAUUAAAAUAUUAUAUCGAUGACAUUUUGACAUCAUUGUUAUAUGUAGGGCGUGGUUUAUAAUCGCCAACCAGAUUUAUAUAUAACCAAUGAAACGGAAUGUCUACUUCAUCCAGAAGUAAUAGAGUACACGCUAUAUACCUUCAUGGCGAUUUUAAAACACACCUUAUCGUAGUUUAGAAAACAUAAUGUAAUUUAAAAAUGUUUGUAAUCAUUUAGACGGUAUUAAACAAAGUAAAUAAACAUCAAAUAAUAAAAUAAUGUGAUAUGAAAUGCUAUACACGAUUUUUAAAAUAGUUGUUAGUGAAUUGUUCAGUAUUUGUUUUAAGCGGCGUCUUAAUAAAUUAUUUCUAUGUGAAGGUGUUUUAAAGGAAUUGAUUUUUUAGCAACAAAUAGCCGGUAAAAGUAGCAAUCUAAGAACGACAUUUAUGCAAUACAACAUGCCUUGAAAAAAGCUAAUAUUAUUGUAAUUAGCGUGCGAGUUUGUUUUUUUACAUUGACUACUAAAUUUAAAACACCUUAACUACAAAUAUGUAAUAAUAUUAUCAUCUGCUAAUACUGUUAGGUCCUUUGACACGCAACAAGGCCUAAAUACAUAAUAAACAAUAAAAUGCACAAA